GAUGAACGCUGGCGGCGUGCCUAAUACAUGCAAGUCGAGCGAACAGAUAAGGAGCUUGCUCCUUUGACGUUAGCGGCGGACGGGUGAGUUACACGUGGAUAACCUACCUAUAAGACUGGGAUAACUUCGGGAAACCGGAGCUAAUACCGGAUAAAAUAUUGAACCGCAUGGUUCAAUAGUGAAAGGCGGCUUUGCUGUCACUUAUAGAUGGAUCCGCGCCGUAUUAGCUAGUUGGUAAGGUAACGGCUUACCAAGGCAACGAUACGUAGCCGACCUGAGAGGGUGAUCGGCCACACUGGAACUGAGACACGGUCCAGACUCCUACGGGAGGAAGCAGUAGGGAAUCUUCCGCAAUGGGCGAAAGCCUGACGGAGCAACGCCGCGUGAGUGAUGAAGGUCUUCGGAUCGUAAAACUCUGUUAUCAGGGAAGAACAAAUGUGUAAGUAACUGUGCACAUCUUGACGGUACCUGAUCAGAAAGCCACGGCUAACUACGUG
rnacentral:rRNA from 1 species